rnacentral:rRNA from 1 species
CGCGCAGGCGGUCUCUUAAGUCUGAUGUGAAAGCCCCCGGCUCAACCGGGGAGGGUCAUUGGAAACUGGGAGACUUGAGUGCAGGAGAGGGAAGCGGAAUUCCAUGUGUAGCGGUGAAAUGCGUAGAGAUAUGGAGGAACACCAGUGGCGAAGGCGGCUUCCUGGCCUGUAACUGACGCUGAGGCGCGAAAGCGUGGGGAGCAAACAGGAUUAGAUACCCUGGUAGUCCACGCCGUAAACGAUGAGUGCUAGGUGUUAGGGGGUUUCCGCCCCUUAGUGCUGCAGCUAACGCAUUAAGCACUCCGCCUGGGGAGUACGGUCGCAAGACUGAA